rnacentral:rRNA from 1 species
AACGAACGCUGGCGGCGUGCCUAACACAUGCAAGUCGAACGAGAAAGGGACUUCGGUCCUGAGUAGAGUGGCGCACGGGUGAGUAACACGUGGAUAACCUGCCCUAUGAUCUGGGAUAACUGACCGAAAGGACAGCUAAUACCGGAUAAGCCCACAGAGACUUCGGUCUCAGUGGGAAAAGAUUUAUCGUCAUAGGAUGGGUCCGCGGUCCAUUAGCUAGUUGGUAGGGUAACGGCCUACCAAGGCUACGAUGGAUAGCUGGUCUGAGAGGAUGAUCAGCCACACUGGAACUGAGACACGGUCCAGACUCCUACGGGAGGCAGCAGUGGGGAAUUUUGCGCAAUGGACGAAAGUCUGACGCAGCAACGCCGCGUGAAGGAUGAAGGCCCUUGGGUCGUAAACUUCUGUCAGAGGGGAAGAAAUGCCCGUAAGGGAGCUGACGGUACCCUCAAAGGAAGCACCGGCUAACUCCG